rnacentral:rRNA from 1 species
AUUGAACGCUGGCGGCAGGCCUAACACAUGCAAGUCGAGCGGAGCGGCGGACGGGUGAGUAAGGACUAGGAAUCUGCCUGGUAGUUGGGGAUAACGACCGGAAACGGGCGCUAAUACCGAAGACUAGCCGACGAGUGUAGGUCGGUGUAGCUAGUUGGUGGGGUAAGGGCUUACCAAGGCGACGAUCCGUAGCUGGUCUGAGAGGAUGAUCAGUCACACUGGAACUGAGACACGGUCCAGACUCCUACGGGAGGCAGCAGUGGGGAAUAUUGGACAAUGGGCGAAAGCCUGAUGCAGCCAUGCCGCGUGUAUGAAGAAGGUCUUCGGUUUGUAAAGUACUUUCAGUUGGGAGGCGUUACCAACAGAAGAAGCACCGGCUAACUCCGUGCCAGCAGCCGCGGUAAUUC